rnacentral:rRNA from 1 species
UACAGAGGGUGCGAGCGUUAAUCGGAAUUACUGGGCGUAAAGCGCGCGUAGGCGGCUUUGCAAGUCGGGUGUGAAAUCCCCAGGCUUAACCUGGGAACUGCAUUCGAGACUGCAUUGCUAGAGUAUGGGAGAGGGAAGUGGAAUUUCCGGUGUAGCGGUGAAAUGCGUAGAUAUCGGAAGGAACAUCAGUGGCGAAAGCGACUUCCUGGACCAAUACUGACGCUGAGGCACGAAAGCGUGGGGAGCAAACAGG